rnacentral:rRNA from 1 species
GAUGAACGCUGGCGGCGUGCCUAAUACAUGCAAGUCGAGCGAACAGACGAGGAGCUUGCUCCUCUGAAGUUAGCGGCGGACGGGUGAGUAACACGUGGAUAACCUACCUAUAAGACUGGGAUAACUUCGGGAAACCGGAGCUAAUACCGGAUAACAUGUUGAACCGCAUGGUUCAACAGUGAAAGAUGGUCUUGCUGUCACUUAUAGAUGGAUCCGCGCCGCAUUAGCUAGUUGGUAAGGUAACGGCUUACCAAGGCAACGAUGCGUAGCCGACCUGAGAGGGUGAUCGGCCACACUGGAACUGAGACACGGUCCAGACUCCUACGGGAGGCAGCAGUAGGGAAUCUUCCGCAAUGGGCAAAAGCCUGACGGAGCAACGCCGCGUGAGUGAAGAAGGUCUUCGGAUCGUAAAACUCUGUUAUUAGGGAAGAACAAAUGUGUAAGUAACUAUGCACGUCUUGACGGUACCUAAUCAGAAAGCCACGGCUAACUACGUGCCAGCAGCCGCGGUAAUACGUAGGUGACAAGCGUUAUCCGGAAUUAUUGGGCGUAAAGCGCGCGUAGGCGGUUUUUUAAGUCUGAUGUGAAAGCCCACGGCUCAACCGUGGAGGGUCAUUGGAAACUGGAAAACUUGAGUGCAGAAGAGGAAAGUGGAAUCCCAUGUGUAGCGGUGAAAUGCGCAGAGAUAUGGAGGAACACCAGUGGCGAAGGCGACUUUCUGGUCUGUAACUGACGCUGAUGUGCGAAAGCGUGGGGAUCGAACAGGAUUAGAUACCCUGGUAGUCCACGCCGUAAACGAUGAGUGCUAAGUGUUAGGGGGUUUCCGCCCCUUAGUGCUGCAGCUAACGCAUUAAGCACUCCGCCUGGGGAGUACGACCGCAAGGUUGAAACUCAAAGGAAUUGACGGGGACCCGCACAAGCGGUGGAGCAUGUGGUUUAAUUCGAAGCAACGCGAAGAACCUUACCAAAUCUUGACAUCCUCUGACCCCUCUAGAGAUAGAGUUUUCCCCUUCGGGGGACAGAGUGACAGGUGGUGCAUGGUUGUCGUCAGCUCGUGUCGUGAGAUGUUGGGUUAAGUCCCGCAACGAGCGCAACCCUUAAGCUUAGUUGCCAUCAUUAAGUUGGGCACUCUAAGUUGACUGCCGGUGACAAACCGGAGGAAGGUGGGGAUGACGUCAAAUCAUCAUGCCCCUUAUGAUUUGGGCUACACACGUGCUACAAUGGACAAUACAAAGGGUAGCGAAACCGCGAGGUCAAGCAAAUCCCAUAAAGUUGUUCUCAGUUCGGAUUGUAGUCUGCAACUCGACUACAUAAAGCUGGAAUCGCUAGUAAUCGUAGAUCAGCAUGCUACGGUGAAUACGUUCCCGGGUCUUGUACACACCGCCCGUCACACCACGAGAGUUUGUAACACCCGAAGCCGGUGGAGUAACCUUUUGGAGCUAGCCGUCGAAGGUGGGACAAAUGAUUGGGGUGAAGUCGUAACAAGGUAGCCGUAUCGGAAGG